rnacentral:rRNA from 1 species
AGUGAACGCUGGCGGUAGGCCUAACACAUGCAAGUCGAACGGCAGCACAGGAGAGCUUGCUCUCUGGGUGGCGAGUGGCGGACGGGUGAGGAAUACAUCGGAAUCUACUCUGUCGUGGGGGAUAACGUAGGGAAACUUACGCUAAUACCGCAUACGACCUACGGGUGAAAGCAGGGGACCUUCGGGCCUUGCGCGAUGGAAUGAGCCGAUGUCGGAUGAGCUAGUUGGCGGGGGAAAGGCCCACCAAGGCGACGAUCCGUAGCGGGUCUGAGAGGAUGAUCAGCCACAUGGGAACUGAGACACGGUCAAGACUCCGACGGGAGGCAGCAGUGGGGAAUAUUGGACAAUGGGCGCAAGCCUGAUCCAGCCAUCCCGCGUGGGGGAAGAAGGCCUUCGGGUUGUAAAGCCCUUUUGUUGGGAAAGAAAUCCAGCUGGCUAAUACCCGGUUGGGAUGACGGUACCCAAAGAAUAAGCACCGGCUAACUUCGUGCCAGCCGCCGCCGUAA